CCUACGGGAGGCAGCAGUGGGGAAUAUUGCACAAUGGGCGCAAGCCUGAUGCAGCCAUGCCGCGUGUGUGAAGAAGGCCUUCGGGUUGUAAAGCACUUUCAGCGGGGAGGAAGGCGGUGAGGUUAAUGACCUCAUCGAUUGACGUUACCCGCAGAAGAAGCACCGGCUAACUCCGUGCCAGCAGCCGCGGUAAUACGGAGGGUGCAAGCGUUAAUCGGAAUUACUGGGCGUAAAGCGCACGCAGGCGGUCUGUCAAGUCGGAUGUGAAAUCCCCGGGCUCAACCUGGGAACUGCAUUCGAAACUGGCAGGCUAGAGUCUUGUAGAGGGGGGUAGAAUUCCAGGUGUAGCGGUGAAAUGCGUAGAGAUCUGGAGGAAUACCGGUGGCGAAGGCGGCCCCCUGGACAAAGACUGACGCUCAGGUGCGAAAGCGUGGGGAGCAAACAGGAUUAGAUACCCCUGUAGUC
rnacentral:rRNA from 1 species